UUACAGAUUGCAACAUGUAGCAUGCCAGGAGACUUAAGUCAGUGGGUUAUGAAGCAUUACGACCCUGAAAUUUCCCAACUGGUCAACCCAGAGAGGGGCAAGAUUCCAGUAGAUGCAACAAGUGUUCACAGGAUUUGGGGUCUGCCAAACAAGGGGAGGAAGGUUUGCUAUGAGAAGAGAGCAGAUUACACAUCCCAAAUGAACACAAUCUUCAAUAUUAACACCAAAGGCUCACCAACACUAACAGCUUGGUGCAAAAUGAUUAAGGAUAUGGCUGGGGUAGCAGAUAACAAUUUCCUACGUGCUUGGUUGGCGGUCGCCUUCUCCUGUUUCCUUGCUCCUACCACAAGUUUGAACAUAUCCCCACGGUGUUUUCCUGUUGUGAUGCAUGUGGAUGCGAUAACGGAGACCAAUGUGUGCCAAUUUGUAGUUGAUCAAAUUAAAUUGGCAUUCAUGGGAGCAGGUGAUAAAAAUGCAGUCUGUUGUUGCGUCAUGCAUUUAGUUGUACGUCUAACUUGCUCUUUGUCCCUUUUUCAUAGUUUCUCAUCUAGUUUCUCUAGUUGUUUAUUGGACUCAUUUUUCUUUUUCUUUUUUGUUUUUUGCCUCGUGCAGCUCCUAUAUCUGGACUCAUUGGAUGUGGACGAACCCAUCGCAAGCACGGGUCCAAGAGUGUCGGUUUGGAAUUCUGAUCUUAUUUCCAAGGUCAUUAAGAAGGACAAAAAUGGCCGAGGGGAGUUUGGCAAGUUGUGGGUAAGUUUCCUCUUAUUUUCGUGA
rnacentral:rRNA from 1 species